rnacentral:rRNA from 1 species
CCUACGGGGGGCAGCAGUGGGGAAUAUUGCACAAUGGGGGAAACCCUGAUGCAGCGACGCCGCGUGAGUGAAGAAGUAUUUCGGUAUGUAAAGCUCUAUCAGCCGGGAAGAAAUAGCGACCUUUGGGUCGCCAGACGGUACCUGACUAAGAAGCACCGGCUAACUACGUCCCAGCAGCCGCGGUGAUACGUAGGGGGCAAGCGUUAUCCUGAUUUACUGGGUGUAAAGGGAGCGUAGACGGCAGCACAAGUCGGAAGGGAAAUGCCGGGGCUUAACCCCGGAACUGCUUUGGAAACUGUGCAGCUAGAGUGCAGGAGAGGUAAGUGGAAUGCCUAGUGUAGCGGUGAGAUGCGUAGAUAUCAGGAGGAACACCAGUGGCGAAGGCGGCAUACUGGACUGUAACUGACGUUGAGGCUCGAAAGCGUGGGGAGCGAACAGGAUUAGAUACCCCAGUAGUC